AAACAGCCUCAUAUGUAUUGGAUCUUUAACAGUUAUGGUCCCCAAGACCACUUUUGACUUAGUCUUCACUGACGUGGCACCCACAAUGGUCGACAUGUGGCAUCUCACUUAAGGGAUGUGGGUGCCACAUCAGCAAAGACUAAGUCAAAAAUGGCAUUGGGGGCCAAAACUACUAAAGAUCCAAUACAUAGGGUUGUUU
rfam:Medicago truncatula strain A17 chromosome 6, whole genome shotgun sequence.